CCCGAGAAACGGGUUUUGGAGAGGGUAUUGCUUUCUUUCAAAACAACAAUCUUCUCCCCCUUAGUUGUCGCUCCCUCUAGAAAAGGCAUUUUGAGCGAGCUCGGCUUAGUGUCAAUGUGUAAGGGUGUGUAAGGGUCGCUCGCGCUAUCAGCAUCCACCCAAACGUGCUUCGGGCUAGGGCAGAACGCGUUUCAGACACAGCCGGACAGGACACAGGCGCGGUAUUACGUCCAAUACAGGAAGCUAACCCGUCAAGGUUAGAUACGGUUACAUGUGUCUGUGAUGCUUUCCGGGUGUCUCAAUGGAUCAUCAAGGGCUUCUGUAAAACAAAAUCAAUUUAACAAGUCAUUGGAGCGGAUCGUAGAAACUAUUUAGAACGCAACGAACCAGUUCAAACCAGUCACAGUUUGCACUGGUUGUUAGAUAAACGAUCAUUUUGUUUAAUUCGUGACCGAUCACUGAAAGAACCGGUUGCAGUAAACUAGCAAGACCUAGACGUGCAAUCAUGAUUGAUCAAGUGCUAAUAAAUUAACAUAUUGCAGCUAUCAUAACGAAACCGCUAAAGUAAUCGAGACUAUCAAUAUAAUGCGGUAAUUCCCAAUCGAUCCAGCAAUACGUAUCAUUCCAUUUUCAUCAUUAUAGAGCUUCAAAUUUGCUCGUAGCGAACGGAUUUUUCAAAAACAUUACUGCUCCUGCUUUACCUUCAUUAUUUACUAGUGAAGUUAAUAAACUUGUUCCAUUAUUUUAACGCUCCAAUGAUAACGCCUUCAGCUCAACAAAGGAAUAACGAAAGCAUAAAUAAUAAACUUAAAAUCCCCCGGCCCGGUCGAAUCGAACACCACCAACUUCCUUUCUAGGUGGAUCGAUCAUGCAGCAGUCACGUGAUAUCGCUAACCAGUAGCCGCACUCUAGCUGAUUCGAGCCCACACGCACACACACCCAACCAAUACAGCCAUCGAACGCUCGCAGUAACAUUGCCAAAGUUGAUAGCUCCAAAGCACAUUGGGGAUGCAUUUGGGGUCCGCUUGGGUCAAAAACUUAGAGCAAAACAAAAACGACCCAAAACGAAAGGAAAAAAACAGAACUCAAAAAAAAACACCAACUAACACAAAGCGAUCGAAACGAAUCAUCCUCUCUCGGGGUGGCACACUGAUCCCCACCACAAAACCACAGCCUGAAUAAUGAUGCGUGAUGGAGCAGGUUUUUGCUUCAUGGAAGAGUUUGUUCCAUUUUUUGUGUGUGUCUGUUUGUUUUUUACUUGAAACCUCUCGUGUCUUUGAAGGAAUAGAGGGCAUAUAAUUUACUAAUUACACGAUUUUCCUAAACCAGAUACAAAAAAAUGUUUCAAUUGAAGUUAAUCGUAACGUUUUUUUUCUCCAAACCGUUAUUAGGUCUAAUAAACAAAGUAGAGUUAAUGUUUUGCCCUUUACUGACUUUUGUGAAGAUUUACUUGUAUAGAAGAUCAAAUACAUAUCAUGAACGUUGAGUAGGUUAAUUCAUGUUUUUGUUAUGUCAUUAAAACUAAAUUAAAAAUUGUAUACAUUAGUAUCUUAUCUUGACUUCUUGAUCGAAUUCAUUCGAUAGUCAAUUUUAUAUGUUGCAGUUCACUACAGAGGCACUCAUGGAAAUUGAAGAUUAAAAUGAAAUAAUCGUGAUUUUCUCUCCAUCUUAUCAAGUCAGUCAGCUCACAACGCCCAUCACACAACCAACGCAUGAGAUAGCAAAUGGUAAAUCAAAUGCAUUACGAUUAUGUUGCAGCGAUAAACACAAUUAGCAUUAUGGAAGAAAUAUAAUCACAAUAUAAUCCACA